rnacentral:rRNA from 1 species
CUACGGGCUGCAGCAGUAAGGAAUAUUGGGCAAUGGACGCAAGUCUGACCCAGCCAUGCCGCGUGAAGGAUGAAGGACCUAUGGGUUGGGAAGGGCGGGGAGAAGGGGAGAAAGGAGGGGAGGGGGAGGGGGGGGACAGGAAGGGAGGAAGAAGGAAAGGCGAACUCCGUGCCAGCAGCCGCGGUAAUACGGAGGGUGCAAGCGUUAUCCGGAUUCACUGGGUUUAAAGGGUGCGUAGGUGGAUCUGUAAGUCAGAGGUGAAAUCCCCGAGCUUAACUUGGGAACUGCCUUUGAUACUAUCGAUCUUGAAUAUCGUGGAGGUAAGCGGAAUAUGUCAUGUAGCGGUGAAAUGCAUAGAGAUGACAUAGAACACCAAUUGCGAAGGCAGCUUGCUACACGAUGAUUGACACUGAGGCACGAAAGCGUGGGGAGCAAACAGGAUUAGAUACCCUCGUAGUC